rnacentral:lncRNA from 1 species
ACUCCCUUCUUUAGCUUCAAUCUAUUUUAUCCUAGAGAAAUUGGUAAUUAUUUAUGCCCCCGACAUAUACAACAAGCGUGUUACUCUUGAUAACCCUUCUGUCUACAUUGUUUCUUCCAUCCAUCCAUCCCAAUUUCAUCUCUGCACUCUGAACUUAAAUUUGUCUCAUUCAAUUUUAAUGGAACUUAUACACAAUGCGAAAAACAACACACAUACAGUGUUCAAACUUUGGUUGUGAGUCAUUUACCUUUUCAGAGUUAUGACUCUAUUUGACUUCGAAAAUUGCAAAGCUUGAUCAGGGGUAUUCAUAUCUAGACACAUUCUUAUUUUUUUUUUAAAUAAAUUUGAUUGGUAAAUUGUGUAAAUCUUUUCUUAUAAGCUAUAUGUAAUGUUGUACUUUUAAAGAAAUA